AUACGGAGGAUCCAAGCGUUAUCCGGAUUUAUUGGGUUUAAAGGGUGCGUAGGCGGGAUAAUAAGUCAGUGGUGAAAGUCUGGCAGCUUAACUGUAGAAUUGCCAUUGAUACUGUUAUUCUUGAGUGUAGUUGAAGUAGGCGGAAUGUGUAGUGUAGCGGUGAAAUGCUUAGAUAUUACACAGAACACCGAUUGCGUAGGCAGCUUACUAAGCUACAACUGACGCUGAGGCACGAAAGCGUGGGGAUCAAACAUGAUUAGAUACCCUGGUAGUCCACGCUGUAAACGACGAUAACUGGCUGUUGGCGAUAUACCGUCAGCGGCAAAGCGAAAGUGAUAAGUUAUCCACCUGGGGAGUACGCCGGCAACGGUGAA
rnacentral:rRNA from 1 species